rnacentral:rRNA from 1 species
CGGAGGGUGCAAGCGUUAUCCGGAUUUACUGGGUUUAAAGGGUGUGUAGGCGGACUUUUAAGUCAGGGGUGAAAUCCCGGGGCUCAACCCCGGAACUGCCUUUGAUACUAUUAGUCUUGAAUCUUGUUGAGGUGGGCGGAACGGGUCAUGUAGCGGUGAAAUGCAUAGAUAUGACCCGGAACACCGAUUGCGAAGGCAGCCCGCUAAGCAAGCAUUGACGCUGAGGCACGAAAGCGUGGGGAUCAAACAGGAUUAGAUACCCUGGUAGUCCACGCCCUAAACGAUGAUUACUCGUUUUUGGGCUUUCGGGUUCAGAGACUAAGCGAAAGUGAUAAGUUAGCCACCUGGGGAGUACGUUCGCAAGAAUG